GUUUGUAAAUCUCAGAAGCGAAGGGUAAAACUUGCCAAUAGGCAUUACUCCAAUAAUAUACGUUUCAAAAAAGACGAAUAAGCUUUUAGUUUUGCAGAGUUACAUUCUCAAAUGUUUAAGGCACUAAUAAAAUCAAAGUAUCAUGAAAUUAUUUGAAUAAACCACACCACAUAUAUAAUGCAAUUUUCUUUGCGGAAGUCAAGAAUCAAUAUUACAUCACUAUUAAAUUAAACACUGAC